GAACUGAAGAGUUUGAUCAUGGCUCAGAUUGAACGCUGGCGGCAGGCCUAACACAUGCAAGUCGAGCGGAUGACGGGAGCUUGCUCCUUGAUUCAGCGGCGGACGGGUGAGUAAUGCCUA
rnacentral:ncRNA from 1 species